rnacentral:lncRNA from 1 species
CCGUUGCUUUCUCAUGGUCAUUAGGAAUUUUGUUGGGAUAAUCCUCCAAAUGAAUUAGAAGCAUUCUAUUCAAAUGAUAGGUAACAAUGUGUGUGUGCAAACUCAAACCAUCCUGACAAUAAAAUCAAGCCAAUUCAUGUUUGAAUUAAAGUAAAGAAUGCAGAAAGCAAAGACCACAGGGGAAAAAUAAUGGUAAGCUUCACAUCUAUUUAAGUAUAAAGCUAAAACUUAGCAACUAAAAGUAAUAUUUUAUCAGAAAUGACAAAAGUCUAGAGAAGGUGAAUUGAAG